UACGAAGGGGGCUAGCGUUGUUCGGAAUCACUGGGCGUAAAGGGCGCGUAGGCGGCUUUGUAAGUCGGGGGUGAAAGCCUGUGGCUCAACCACAGAAUUGCCUUCGAUACUGCUUGGCUUGAGACCGGAAGAGGUAAGUGGAACUGCGAGUGUAGAGGUGAAAUUCGUAGAUAUUCGCAAGAACACCAGUGGCGAAGGCGGCUUACUGGUCCGGUUCUGACGCUGAGGCGCGAAAGCGUGGGGAGCAAACAGG
rnacentral:rRNA from 1 species